UACGAAGGGGGCUAGCGUUGUUCGGAAUCACUGGGCGUAAAGGGCGCGUAGGCGGCGUGGUAAGUCACUUGUGAAAUCUCUGAGCUUAACUCAGAACGGCCAAGUGAUACUGCUGUGCUAGAGUGCAGAAGGGGCAAUCAGAAUUCUUGGUGUAGCGGUGAAAUGCGUAGAUAUCAAGAGGAAUACCUGAGGUGAAGACGGGUUGCUAGGCUGACACUGACGCUGAGGCGCGAAAGCCAGGGGAGCAAACGGG
rnacentral:rRNA from 1 species